AACGAACGCUGGCGGCAGGCCUUACACAUGCAAGUCGAGCGAGAACUUCGGGUCUAGCGGCGGAGGGGUGCGUACCGCGUGGGAAUAUGCCUGUUGGUACGGAAUAGCCUCGGGAAACUGGGCGUAAUCCCGUAUGUGCCCUUUGGGGGAAAGAUUUAUAGCGAAGGGAUUAGCCCGCGUUGGAUUAGGUAGUUGGUGGGGUAAUGGCCUACGAAGGCGACGAUCCAUAGCUGGUUUGAGAGAAUGAUCAGCCACACUGGGACUGAGACACGGCCCAGACUCCUACGCGAUGCAGCAGUGGGGAAUCUUAGACAAUGGGGGCAAGGCUGAUCUAGCCAUGCCGCGUGAGUGAUGAAGGCCUUAGGGAUGUAAAGCUCGUUCAGCUGGGAAGAUAAUGACGGUACCAGCAGAAGAAGCCCCGGCUAACUCCGUG
rnacentral:rRNA from 1 species